GGAAGGCGGAAAAAAGAGGUAGUCAUAUCUCAACUUAGAAUUGGACACACUGGACUUAAUAGAUCUCUUUUCAGAAUAGGGAAACAUGAAACAGGGACUUGUAAUUACUGUAAUCAUAUGGAAACAGUGGAACAUGUGUUAUAUGAAUGUAAUAAGUAUUCAGAGGAACGUCAGCACUUAUAGUCAGUACUAGAUGGAGAGAAAAUUUAUCAUUUUCGAUGAUAAAUCUUUUAGGAAAUAAAUCAAAUUUUGUUAGAAUUCAAUUGAUUAGAUUUUUAAAAAACACUGGGUUAUUUAAUUGUAUUUAGAGUGUGUAUGUGUAUGGAUGUUAAUUUAAGCAUUCUAGCAUACCAUUGAGGUAUGUAUUAUUAAUUUCCCUCUGGGAUCAUUGAAGACCACACUCCAGUCUGGUAGGUGCCGGUAAAUGUACCUUGAGUUGGUUGCCAUCCGCCAAUAAAUAACAAAAGAAGAAGACGAGCAGAGGAGAAGAGAAAAAAGAAAAAGAAAAGAAGCUACCCUAGCGGUGCUCAGAAAGAAGAGAAAGAAGGAGCAAAGUAGAAAUCUGCUCUCAAAGUUACCAAAAGUUUCUGCCAAUGGCUUCUGCACUGCAGCAGCAGCAGCAAACUCAGCGGUGACGUUGGCAGCUGCUGGCGAGGAUUCGUUGCAUGGAGAUGAAAGGUGAGUGUUAAACCGUCAAAAGGGACGUCCCCCUAUAUUGAUAAGUAUUUAUUUAACUUAUUGAAGAUGGGUCAUUUUAAAGUAAGUUUCAAAUUUAGUUUGUAUUUGCUACAAACAAUUAGAAAUCCGUUAGUUAGGUGUUUUUUUUUUUUUCAUGUUGAAUUUCAGGAAAACUUCAGGCUUUUGGGUGUUCUUUCUAAAAUCCCCCUUAGGUUUUACAGGUAGUUUUGGCAGGUGUUUUAGUUCUUAAUAAUUUAAGUUAUACAUUCAAAAAACAUAAGGAAGUCAUUACCAACUUCUCACUCUGCUUUACAGCUUUGGUUUUGAAAUAUGUAAACAGCAUAUAAAUAGGUUUAGUAGUAGAGUAGAAAUUGCAGCAUGUUCCUCUGAGUUACAGUGACGUAGACAAAAUUGAAGUUGCAUGAAAUCCUCAAAUUUCUACUUUAGCAAUUGAGUAGAUAUACAUUUAACCACUGGGUAAAAGCCUUGUACUGUGUUGUCUGUGUUUGUUUUCAGAAUGAGACAGAGAUGGGCUGUGACAGAGAGAGUUCCACAAUUAUCCAGCCAGGCUUUGAUAAUGAUUUUGUUCCACCAGACUAAGAGAGUCCAGCAUCAUCCACUCUGCUGCAUAGGUGAUUCUGCGUGGUGGGAGGGGGGCCCCCAAAUCAAAUUCUGCUUAGGGCCCCCAAGAGGCUCGGGCCGGCACUGUCAAGCAGAGAGUUUCCUGCCGCUGACGUUUGCGCUGCCUGUCCCCCUUCAGUUCAAAUAAACUUUUUUUCGCUAUACUGUUUGUCUGGUUUGAACACUGGGUCCAUCUGUUUUGUUCCUAAUAAGAUGACCAUUUAGGCUAGCGACA